CAGGAAUAAGGAAAAAGGUUUUGUUUGGAACCUGGUGCUAGAGGGCCGCUGGUAGAGGAGCUGUGCCUGGAACUACAGUGCCAAUUAGUUUCAGAUGGAUGUCCUCUGCCCAGUGCUGUGCCCAGAAGUGAAGUUACCAAGGCUGACACGUUCAUCUGCUGCCAAUCUGAUCAGGGCCUGGAGAGAGCAGGCGCAGGAGAAAUGAAGCAUCUUUCAGUUGCUGCCGGGAACGUCCCACCGGCAGCAUGGCGCAGCCGAGAGACGGCUGCGGGGCACCAAGGGUCUGCAUGGAUGAACCCUGCGCUUAUCGAGCAAAUGACAGCUACCACGACGGCUCAGGCUGGAGGGGAAACGAAGAGAAUCCCAGAGUUGGACAACCAAAGAACAACUUCCCAGAGAGAAAGAGGUGAUAGCUCUUUACUCUCAGGUACAGUUUUGCCAUCAGCAUCCGUGAUCUGUUUUCCUUCAUCACUGUAUCAAACUUCAGCAACAACAAAGUUUCUGUUGGAAACAGGACUUUCCAUUUACACUGUAACAGCAAGCUGAAGAAUGAGACAUCUGAUCUCUGAAACAGUCUUAAACUUCGGUGAGACAUAAGCAUACUUACUUUUCUCUUGUACCCUGGAAAUAUAGUGCCUACUUGAUACAAGACUUCACGUUGAUAGUUGGGUCCAUUGUUGUCUAUUAGCCAUGUCAUCUU